rnacentral:rRNA from 1 species
GUGGGGAAUAUUGGGCAAUGGGGGAAACCCUGACCCAGCAACGCCGCGUGAAGGAAGAAGGUCUUCGGAUCGUAAACUUCUAUCCUUGGUGAAAAUAAUGAUGGUAGCCAAGAAGGAAGCCCCGGCUAACUACGUGCCAGCAGCCGCGGUAAUACGUAGGGGGCAAGCGUUGUCCGGAAUGAUUGGGCGUAAAGGGCGCGUAGGCGGCCUGGUAAGUCUGGAGUGAAAGUCCUGCUUUUAAGGUGGGAAUUGCUUUGGAUACUGUCGGGCUUGAGUGCAGGGGAGGUAAGUGGAAUUCCCGGUGUAGCGGUGAAAUGCGUAGAGAUCGGGAGGAACACCAGUGGCGAAGGCGACUUACUGGACUGUAACUGACGCUGAGGCGCGAAAGUGUGGGGAGCAAACAGGAUUAGAAACCCGGGUAGUCC